UAAUACGUAGGGUGCAAGCGUUAAUCGGAAUUACUGGGCGUAAAGCGUGCGCAGGCGGUUUUGUAAGACUGUCGUGAAAUCCCCGGGCUUAACCUGGGAAUUGCGAUGGUGACUGCAAGGCUAGAGUUUGGCAGAGGGGGGUAGAAUUCCACGUGUAGCAGUGAAAUGCGUAGAGAUGUGGAGGAACACCGAUGGCGAAGGCAGCCCCCUGGGUCAAAACUGACGCUCAUGCACGAAAGCGUGGGGAGCAAACAGG
rnacentral:rRNA from 1 species